rnacentral:rRNA from 1 species
AGUGAACGCUGGCGGUAGGCCUAACACAUGCAAGUCGAACGGCAGCACAGUAAGAGCUUGCUCUUACGGGUGGCGAGUGGCGGACGGGUGAGGAAUACAUCGGAAUCUACUUUUUCGUGGGGGAUAACGUAGGGAAACUUACGCUAAUACCGCAUACGACCUACGGGUGAAAGCAGGGGAUCUUCGGACCUUGCGCGAUUGAAUGAGCCGAUGUCGGAUUAGCUAGUUGGCGGGGUAAUGGCCCACCAAGGCGACGAUCCGUAGCUGGUCUGAGAGGAUGGUAAGCCACACUGGAACGGGGACACGGUCAAGACUCCUGCGGGAGGCAGCAGUGGGGAAUAUUGGACAAUGGGCGCAAGCCUGGUCCAGCCAUACCGCGUGGGUGAAGGAGGCCUUGGGGUUGUAAAGCCCUUUUGUUGGGAAAGAAAAGCAGCAGGUUAAGACCCCGCUGUUCUGACGGUACCCAAAGAAUAAGCACCGGCUAACUUCGUG